CCUACGGGAGGCGGCAGGAGGGAAUAGUGCGCAAUGGGGGAAACCCGGAAGCAGAAACGCCGCGUGGAGGAUGAAGGUGUUCGGAUGGUAAACUCCUGUUGUUAGAGAAGAGAAUGACGGUAUCUAACGAAUAAGCACCGGCUAACGCCGUGCCAGCAGCCGCGGUAAUACGGAGGGUGCAAGCGUUACUCGGAAUCACUGGGCGUAAAGAGCGCGUAGGCAUGUUCGCAAGUCAGAUGUGAAAUCCUAUGGCUUAACCAUAGAACUGCAUUUGAAACUGUUAUUCUAGAGUAUGGGAGAGGUAGGUGGAAUUCUUGGUGUAGGGGUAAAAUCCGUAGAGAUCAAGAGGAAUACUCAUUGCGAAGGCGACCUGCUAGAACAUAACUGACGCUGAUGCGCUAAAGCGUGGGGAGCAAACAGGAGUAGAUACCCUAGUAGUC
rnacentral:rRNA from 1 species